rnacentral:misc_RNA from 1 species
GAUGAAGAACGUAGCGAAAUGCGAAAAGUAAUGUGAAUUGCAGAAUUCAGUGAAUCAUCGAAUCUUUGAACGCACAUUGCGCCCGCUGGUACUCCGGCGGGUACGCCUGUCCGAGCGUCAUUUCAACCCUCAAGCCCUCCUUCGGGAUGGGCCUGGUGUUGGGGCUCGGCCGCCAUCUCCGGCGGCCGUCCCCUAAAUACAGUGGCGGUCACGUCGCGACUCCUUUGCGUAGUAGAAACACCUCGCUCCGGAUAGCAACGCGGUCCACGCCGUAAAAUCCCCAAUUUUCAAUGGUUGACCUCGGAUCAGGUGGGAAUACCCGCUGAACUUAAGCAUAUCAAUAAGCGGAGGA